rnacentral:rRNA from 1 species
AGUGAACGCUGGCGGUAGGCCUAACACAUGCAAGUCGAACGGCAGCACAGUAAGAGCUUGCUCUUACGGGUGGCGAGUGGCGGACGGGUGAGGAAUACAUCGGAAUCUACUUUUUCGUGGGGGAUAACGUAGGGAAACUUACGCUAAUACCGCAUACGACCUACGGGUGAAAGCUGGGGAUCUUCGGACCUUGCGCGAUUGAAUGAGCCGAUGUCGGAUUAGCUAGUUGGCGGGGUAAAGGCCCACCAAGGCGACGAUCCGUAGCUGGUCUGGGAGGAUGAUCAGCCACACUGGAACUGAGACACGGUCCAGACUCCUACGGGAGGCAGCAGUGGGGAAUAUUGGACAAUGGGCGCAAGCCUGAUCCAGCCAUACCGCGUGGGUGAAGAAGGCCUUCGGGUUGUAAAGCCCUUUUGUUGGGAAAGAAAAGCAGCAGGUUAAUACCCCGCUGUUCUGACGGUACCCAAAGAAUAAGCACCGGCUAACUUCGUG